GACGAACGCUGGCGGCGUGCCCAAUACAUGCAAGUUGAGCGCUGAAGGUUGGUACUUGUACCAACUGGAUGAGCAGCGAACGGGUGAGUAACGCGUGGGGAAUCUGCCUUUGAGCGGGGGACAACAUUUGGAAACGAAUGCUAAUACCGCAUAAAAACUUUAAACACAAGUUUUAAGUUUGAAAGAUGCAAUUGCAUCACUCAAAGAUGAUCCCGCGUUGUAUUAGCUAGUUGGUGAGGUAAAGGCUCACCAAGGCGAUGAUACAUAGCCGACCUGAGAGGGUGAUCGGCCACAUUGGGACUGAGACACGGCCCAAACUCCUACGGGAGGCAGCAGUAGGGAAUCUUCGGCAAUGGACGAAAGUCUGACCGAGCAACGCCGCGUGAGUGAAGAAGGUUGUCGGAUCGUAAAACUCUGUUGGUAGAGAAGAACGUUGGUGAGAGUGGAAAGCUCAUCAAGUGACGGUAACUACCCAGAAAGGGACGGCUAACUACGUG
rnacentral:rRNA from 1 species